rnacentral:rRNA from 1 species
AAAAAAUUAGAGUGCUUAAAGCGAGCUAGUGCUUGAAUAAAUUAGCAUGGAAUAAUAAAAUAGGACGGCAUGGUUCUAUUUUGUUGGUUUCUAGGAUCACCGUAAUGAUUAAUAGGGAUAGUUGGGGGCAUUAGUAUUCAAUUGUCUGAGGUGCCAAGGAUGUUUUCAUUAAUCAAAAACGAAAGUGAGGGGAUCGAAGACGAUCAGAUACCGUCGUAGUCUUAACCAUAAAUUAUGCCGACUAGGAAUCGGACGACGUUAAUUUUAUAAUGACUCGUUCGGCAACCUUACG